rnacentral:ncRNA from 1 species
ACGCCAUCCAGAGCGGCCGAGAGACCUGGCUCGUCGACGCCGCAGCAACCCUCCCGUUCUCGGGUGCGGGUGCUACCGCCGGGACCGAUGGAAC